UGUCCCUUCAAGGUGUUCUCCCUGUGG
rnacentral:piRNA from 1 species